GGGUUGUGAGGUUAAGCGACUAAGCGUACACGGUGGAUGCCCUGGCAGUCAGAGGCGAUGAAGGACGUGCUAAUCUGCGAUAAGCGCCGGUAAGGUGAUAUGAACCGUUAUAACCGGCGAUUUCCGAAUGGGGAAACCCAGUGUGAUUCGUCACACUAUCAUUAACUGAAUCCAUAGGUUAAUGAGGCGAACCGGGGGAACUGAAACAUCUAAGUACCCCGAGGAAAAGAAAUCAACCGAGAUUCCCCCAGUAGCGGCGAGCGAACGGGGAGGAGCCCAGAGCCUGAAUCAGCAUGUGUGUUAGUGGAAGCGUCUGGAAAGGCGCGCGAUACAGGGUGACAGCCCCGUACACAAAAGCGCAUGUGCUGUGAGCUCGAUGAGUAGGGCGGGACACGUGGUAUCCUGUCUGAAUAUGGGGGGACCAUCCUCCAAGGCUAAAUACUCCUGACUGACCGAUAGUGAACCAGUACCGUGAGGGAAAGGCGAAAAGAACCCCGGCGAGGGGAGUGAAAAAGAACCUGAAACCGUGUACGUACAAGCAGUGGGAGCACCCUUCGGGGUGUGACUGCGUACCUUUUGUAUAAUGGGUCAGCGACUUAUAUUCUGUAGCAAGGUUAACC
rnacentral:rRNA from 1 species